rnacentral:rRNA from 1 species
CUGGUUGAUCCUGCCGGACCUGACUGCUAUCGGAUUGAUACUAAGCCAUGCGAGUCAUUGUAGCAAUACAAGGCAGACGGCUCAGUAACGCGUAGUCAACCUACCCUAUGGACGGGAAUAACCUCGGGAAACUGAGUAUAAUGCCCGAUAGAACACUAUACCUGGAAUGGUUUGUGUUUCAAAUGAUUUAUCGCCAUAGGAUGGGACUGCGGCCUAUCAGUUUGUUGGUGAGGUAAUGGCCCACCAAGACUAUUACAGGUACGGGCUCUGAGAGGAGUGGCCCGGAGAUGGGUACUGAGACACGGACCCAGGCCCUAUGGGGCGCAGCAGGCGAGAAAACUUUGCAAUGUGCGAAAGCACGACAAGGUUAAUCCGAGUGGUUUCUGCUAAAGGAACCUUUUGUUAGUUCUAGAAAUACUGAUGAAUAAGGGGUGGGCAAGUUCUGGUGUCAGCCGCCGCGGUAAAACCAGCACCUCAAGUGGUCAGGAUGAUUAUUGGGCCUAAAGCAUCCGUAGCCGGCUCUGUUAGUUUUCGGUUAAAUCUGUACGCUUAACGUACAGGCUGCCGGGAAUACUGCAGAGCUAGGGAGUGGGAGAGGUAGACGGUACUCGGGAGGAAGUGGUAAAAUCCUUUGAUCUAUCGAUGACCACCUGUGGCGAAGGCGGUCUACCAGAACACGUCCGACGGUGAGGGAUGAAAGCUGGGGGAGCAAACCGGAUUAGAUACCCGGGUAGUCCCAGCUGUAAACUAUGCAAACUCAGUGAUGCAUUGGCUUGUGGCCAAUGCAGUGCUGCAGGGAAGCCGUUAAGUUUGCCGCCUGGGAAGUACGUACGCAAGUAUGAAACUUAAAGGAAUUGGCGGGGGAGCACCACAAGGGGUGAAGCCUGCGGUUCAAUUGGAGUCAACGCCGG